ACGGACGAACGAGAAUUUAUCUGUCUCUCUAGUAUUUAUAUAAAUUAAUCUCCAGGUGAAGAAGCCUGGCUACUUCUAAAGGACAAAAAGACCCUAAAGAGCUCCGUUAAUAUUUAUUAAUAAUAAUUAUUAUUUAUACAUAAUACCUACUUCAAAUAUUAACUUAACUGGGGCGGUUAAGGAAUAAUUUUAAUCUUCCAUCUACAAACUUAAUGAUUUACAUAUCUACUAACAAUUGAUCCUUAUAAGAACACAGAAAAAAGCUACCUUAGGGAUAACAGAUUAAUCCUCCUCAAGAGUACACAUUGACAGGAGGGAUUGACACCUCGAUGUUGGCUUAGGGUUACUUGAGGGUAGCAGAAGCCCUCAAAGUAGGUUUGUUCAACCUUUAAUUCCCUACGUGAUCUGAG
rnacentral:rRNA from 1 species